GAUGAACGCUGGCGGCGUGCCUAAUACAUGCAAGUCGAGCGAACGGACGAGAAGCUUGCUUCUCUGAUGUUAGCGGCGGACGGGUGAGUAACACGUGGAUAACCUACCUAUAAGACUGGGAUAACUUCGGGAAACCGGAGCUAAUACCGGAUGAUAUUUUGAACCGCAUGGUUCAAAAGUGAAAGACGGUCUUGCUGUCACUUAUAGAUGGAUCCGCGUUGCAUUAGCUAGUUGGUAAGGUAACGGAUUACCAAGGCAACGAUGCAUAGCCGACCUGAGAGGGUGAUCGGCCACACUGGAACUGAGACACGGUCCAGACUCCUACGGGAGGCAGCAGUAGGGAAUCUUCCGCAAAGGGCGAAAGCCUGACGGAGCAACGCCGCGUGAGUGAUGAAGGUCUUCGGAUCGUAAAACUCUGUUAUUAGGGAAGAACAUAUGUGUAAGUAACUGUGCACAUCUUGACGGUACCUAAUCAGAAAGCCACGGCUAACUACGUG
rnacentral:rRNA from 1 species